CCAGGAAUACAGAGGUACAGAGGAGUGGGAUCCUGGCCAAGGAUAAACGAUUCAUUCUGAAGCCCGGCUUGCUGGGAAGGGGUCAGUGGAAAACAGUAACUAAACUAGUAUUCUGAGUUAACCCUCUUUUUUUUUCCUUUCUCUUUCUCUAAUCCAUUCAUUUAUAUAGUCAAGAUUGAUUGAUGCAUCAAACUUGAUUGUGUGAUUGAUGCAUCAAACUUGAUUGUGGGCCAGACGCACUGGACACUGGGAGGGUAGAAAAUGCCUGUCCUCUGUAUUUCAGUUAAAGUGACAGAAAGAAGCACGUGGGUGCUUUUCGAAGGUGUCCAGCUAGCUAGCUAGGGGUCUGUAUAGACGCUACUGUGGUGCCAUAACCCCGGGGGCGCUAUGGGUCUUAGUUGCGGAAGCAUAGUAUGUUGGUUAUGUUGUGUUAGACACUAAUGAUACCAGGUGAGGUGGUAACAGGAACCCAUCAAGUCUCUGUCUUGGAGUUUACAUUCCAACAGUAGAGAGAUAUGAAAGCAAGAGAAAGGUUUUUGCAAGUAUUAGGGGGAAAGUAGGCAGUAGGAUUCAAACAGCGAAGCCUCCCCAGACAGAAAUGGAGUUGGAGAAGUGGGUACCCUAGGGCUUUAGGCCAUGAUAAGUUUCAUGGGUGCCCUGCAUGUUUUCACACCGGUGACAUGACAUGACAGGGGGUUGUGAGCAGGGCCCGAAUUCUUCCUGCACCUCAGUUAACUGAGAAUAAAAGCAGACUCCACCUUCUGUUUUGCUGUUGAGUUUGGCAUGAGUUGGAUGAUCCUUUUCAGACAGUUUUAGCAUAUAGUAGUACUUAAAACUCUUAGAUUUUUCAAAAAGGUCUUUUUGGCUUUUAUGUCGAGAUUGGAUGGGAAAGGGGCUAAUGAUGGUGGUCGUUUAGGUUAGUGGUGACUAUGGAGAUGGGGGGAUCCAGGCAAUGAUUUCAAAGGAGACUGACUGCAGAUCAUGAAGGAGAGCAAACGGGUGACUUUUAGGGAUUUGUUGUUUUGUUUUGUUUUUCGAGCCAGGGUUUCUCUGUAGCUUUGGAACCUGUCCUGGCACUAGCUCUUGUAGACCAGGCUGGCCUCGAACUCACAGAGAUCCUCCUGCCUAUGCCUCCCGAGUGCUGGGAUUAAAGGCCUGCGCCACCACCGCCCGACCCGACCUUUAGGGUUUUAUUCAAGCACUUGAGCCUGUUUAUGGGAAAGACAAAGGGUGGGACAGAAUCAGAUUGGGGAACGGGGUGAACAAAUCAGGAGUUUCAUUUUGGAAAUCGCAGUUUGAGACACCCUAGUGGAUGGCACUUUCCGAUGGGUUUGCAUCUGGAAGUCAAGGAAAUAUAUAUGAUAACCACAAAUUUGGGAGACAUCAACAUGCAGAAAAUAGCCGUGAGGAGGGAGAAUACAGAGGGCUGAAAGGGGCCAAGGCUCAGGUCCUGGGUCAUGUCACCAUUUAACGAUCAUUUAGAAAGAAGAGCUACCAAGGGACCUGGGGAGGUAGCUGUGAGCGAGAGCGAAGACAAGAAUUUCCUCUUAGAAGCCUGGCGGGAUCUGCUAUGUGAAGUGCUUGAGAGGCCUGGGACAGACAGGGGCGUGGCAUUAGACUCAGCCAGACACGUUUAGAUAUCACAUGGAGAUGUCAGUUUGCAAUUGGAACCAGGAUUCUAUGAGAAAUUAAGGAUCAAAGACAAUAUAGUGUGUGAAUUGCCCAUAGAUAUUUAAAACUUCUAGAACUCGAAGAAGGUCGACAGACUGUGUCUUAGUUACUGUUCUGUUGUUGUGAGGAAACACCAUAACUUAACUUAUAAGAGAAAGCACUGAAUUGUGGGCUUGCUUUCAGUUUCGGAGGGUCAGUCCGUUACCUUGGCAGGGAGCAUGAUGGCAGGGGGCCACAGCACUGGGGCAGUGCCUGAGAGUUCACAUCUUACCCACACACAGCAGGUGGGGAGAGCACACUCAUUCCCAGGGACACAUUUCCUAAUCCUUCCCAAACAGUUCUACUUACUAGGGAACAUGCCUUCAAACAUGUGUGCCUGUGGGGGUAUCCACACUGAGUGUAUUAAGGAAAAGAGCCCACGUCCAAAUCCUGAGGCGUUACAGGAUUCAGGACAACAGGAGGAGGAUGCAGAAAGUGAGACCUGUGGGGAAGAACCAAACCUGGACUCCACUUCCAAGGGAAACAAAAUCGUUUUGGAGGAGGCAGAUCAGAGGUGACAUCCUGUAGGACCAGCGUUAUUAUGACAUCAUCACUUAUCUUUCUCCUCAGUCCUGGCUGUCCUUGAGCUCGCUCUGUAGCCCAGGCUGACCUCAGACUCACAGAUCCUCUUGUGUCUGCCUCCCGAGUGCUGGGGUUAAAGGCGUACACCACCACCACCCGGCAUAGUACCUGCUUUUAAUGCUAGUGCUCAGGGAGAUGGAGCUGUUGGAGAAGCAGUGUGUUGGAUUAGAGAACCUCGGCAGCUGGGAAGAGACUGAGGCAGCUGUCACAGUCGUCCAAAUAAGGAAGAUGAAGGCCUGAGCCUUGGCAGCGAAUGUGCUGGUGGUGACGCCCGAGGGUGUGGAGUAGAGAGAGGGGGCCGGUUUAGCCUGGGGUGUGAGCAGCAGCAGUGUUAACAAUAGGAACAAUAAAUAAUUAGAUCAGAGAGAGAAGUUAGUUUGGGGGAAAAUGCAGUGUGCGUUGCUGAUGAGAGAUGUGGACUAGGAAAGAUGUCCAGGCAGACAGGCCCUGACGGGGGAGACGGCUGGGCUUAGAGACUGAGGUCACGGAGAUGCGGGUGCUCGGGACUAAGGAUGGAGCCUUGGGCAAGCUCAGCUUAUUUAUAUUUGUUAUUUUUGAGAAUAUCUCUGUGUAACCACGGUUGGCCUGGAACUCAAAAUUCUACUGUCUCAGCCUUCUGAGUGCUAUAAUUAUAGACAUGGGCCAACAUACUCUGCUCUAUUGAUUUGUUUUGGCGGACUCUUGGUGGGGGGGCUGGGUGGCUGGAUUUGAGCCCAGAGACUUUCACACGCUAAACAAGUACUCUCCCAUUGAGCUACAGCCUAAACCUGUAUUUGGGCAUUGUUAAUCCAGGCUCAGCAAGCACACCACCCUACACUAUGCUCACAGCCCAAGGCUGACCUCUAAGGAACGGGAAGAAGAUUAGACUUUGAGUCUUAAGACUUGGAAAUGAUCUAGAAUCAUACUAGAAAGGUUUACUAAAGAGUAAGUGCCAUUAAAAUAAAAGCUUAUGGAAUGCUCGAAGAGUUCCUUUCUGCUAGAGAACAGAGUUGGUGGGGGUGGCAUUUAGUCUGGUCUAGAUGACUUAGUGACUUGAGCCCUUU